UUAUUUUGGUUACAUGAUUCUGUAGUUUUAAUGUAUUAUUUUUUCUUUGUGUUUUCGUCCUUAAGCCCAAAGCAACAACUUUCUACAGUUGACACAGUGCCCUCUCAAGCAGCAACUACAGCAAGCUGUGUCACAAGCAAAGCCAUCUGGCUAUUCAGCCUCCACCGGAAAAGUUCUCCUGCUACAGUAUUUGAUUUGAACGGCUAAUGUAAGGAUAUCAGCAGAGAGGAAGCUCAAGAGGACCAGGCUGAGCAAGUC